GUUAUAUGGUCAAGUGAAGAAGCGCAUACGGUGGAUGCCUUGGCAGUCAGAGGCGAUGAAAGACGUGGUAGCCUGCGAAAAGCUUCGGGGAGUCGGCAAACAGACUUUGAUCCGGAGAUCUCUGAAUGGGGGAACCCACCUAGGAUAACCUAGGUAUCUUGUACUGAAUCCAUAGGUGCAAGAGGCGAACCAGGGGAACUGAAACAUCUAAGUACCCUGAGGAAAAGAAAUCAACCGAGAUUCCCUUAGUAGUGGCGAGCGAACGGGGAUUAGCCCUUAAGCUUCAUUGAUUUUAGCGGAACGCUCUGGAAAGUGCGGCCAUAGUGGGUGAUAGCCCCGUACGCGAAAGGAUCUUUGAAGUGAAAUCGAGUAGGACGGAGCACGAGAAACUUUGUCUGAACAUGGGGGGACCAUCCUCCAAGGCUAAAUACUACUGACUGACCGAUAGUGAACCAGUACCGUGAGGGAAAGGCGAAAAGAACCCCGGAGAGGGGAGUGAAAUAGAACCUGAAACCGUAUGCGUACAAGCAGUGGGAGCCUACUUGUUAGGUGACUGCGUACCUUUUGUAUAAUGGGUCAGCGACUUAUAUUCAGUGGCAAGCUUAACCAUAUAGGGUAGGCGUAGCGAAAGCGAGUCUUAAUAGGGCGUUUAGUCGCUGGGUAUAGACCCGAAACCGGGCGAUCUAUCCAUGAGCAGGUUGAAGGUUAGGUAACACUGACUGGAGGACCGAACCCACUCCCGUUGAAAAGGUAGGGGAUGACUUGUGGAUCGGAGUGAAAGGCUAAUCAAGCUCGGAGAUAGCUGGUUCUCCUCGAAAGCUAUUUAGGUAGCGCCUCAUGUAUCACUCUGGGGGGUAGAGCACUGUUUCGGCUAGGGGGUCAUCCCGACUUACCAAACCGAUGCAAACUCCGAAUACCCAGAAGUGCCGAGCAUGGGAGACACACGGCGGGUGCUAACGUCCGUCGUGAAAAGGGAAACAACCCAGACCGCCAGCUAAGGUCCCAAAGUUGUGGUUAAGUGGUAAACGAUGUGGGAAGGCUUAGACAGCUAGGAGGUUGGCUUAGAAGCAGCCAUCCUUUAAAGAAAGCGUAAUAGCUCACUAGUCGAGUCGGCCUGCGCGGAAGAUGUAACGGGGCUCAAACCACACACCGAAGCUGCGGGUGUCACGUAAGUGACGCGGUAGAGGAGCGUUCUGUAAGCCUGUGAAGGUGAGUUGAGAAGCUUGCUGGAGGUAUCAGAAGUGCGAAUGCUGACAUGAGUAACGACAAUGGGUGUGAAAAACACCCACGCCGAAAGACCAAGGGUUCCUGCGCAACGUUAAUCGACGCAGGGUUAGUCGGUUCCUAAGGCGAGGCUGAAAAGCGUAGUCGAUGGGAAACAGGUUAAUAUUCCUGUACUUCUGGUUACUGCGAUGGAGGGACGGAGAAGGCUAGGCCAGCUUGGCGUUGGUUGUCCAAGUUUAAGGUGGUAGGCUGAAAUCUUAGGUAAAUCCGGGGUUUCAAGGCCGAGAGCUGAUGACGAGUCGUCUUUUAGAUGACGAAGUGGUUGAUGCCAUGCUUCCAAGAAAAGCUUCUAAGCUUCAGGUAACCAGGAACCGUACCCCAAACCGACACAGGUGGUCGGGUAGAGAAUACCAAGGCGCUUGAGAGAACUCGGGUGAAGGAACUAGGCAAAAUGGCACCGUAACUUCGGGAGAAGGUGCGCCGGCUAGGGUGAAGGAUUUACUCCGUAAGCUCUGGCUGGUCGAAGAUACCAGGCCGCUGCGACUGUUUAUUAAAAACACAGCACUCUGCAAACACGAAAGUGGACGUAUAGGGUGACGCCUGCCCGGUGCCGGAAGGUUAAUUGAUGGGGUUAGCGCAAGCGAAGCUCUUGAUCGAAGCCCCGGUAAACGGCGGCCGUAACUAUAACGGUCCUAAGGUAGCGAAAUUCCUUGUCGGGUAAGUUCCGACCUGCACGAAUGGCGUAACGAUGGCGGCGCUGUCUCCACCCGAGACUCAGUGAAAUUGAAAUCGCUGUGAAGAUGCAGUGUAUCCGCGGCUAGACGGAAAGACCCCGUGAACCUUUACUGUAGCUUUGCACUGGACUUUGAGCCUGCUUGUGUAGGAUAGGUGGGAGGCUUUGAAGCGUGGACGCCAGUUCGCGUGGAGCCAUCCUUGAAAUACCACCCUGGCAUGCUUGAGGUUCUAACUCUGGUCCGUGAUCCGGAUCGAGGACAGUGUAUGGUGGGCAGUUUGACUGGGGCGGUCUCCUCCUAAAGAGUAACGGAGGAGUACGAAGGUGCGCUCAGACCGGUCGGAAAUCGGUCGCAGAGUAUAAAGGCAAAAGCGCGCUUGACUGCGAGACAGACACGUCGAGCAGGUACGAAAGUAGGUCUUAGUGAUCCGGUGGUUCUGUAUGGAAGGGCCAUCGCUCAACGGAUAAAAGGUACUCCGGGGAUAACAGGCUGAUACCGCCCAAGAGUUCAUAUCGACGGCGGUGUUUGGCACCUCGAUGUCGGCUCAUCACAUCCUGGGGCUGAAGCCGGUCCCAAGGGUAUGGCUGUUCGCCAUUUAAAGUGGUACGCGAGCUGGGUUUAGAACGUCGUGAGACAGUUCGGUCCCUAUCUGCCGUGGACGUUUGAGAUUUGAGAGGGGCUGCUCCUAGUACGAGAGGACCGGAGUGGACGAACCUCUGGUGUUCCGGUUGUCACGCCAGUGGCAUUGCCGGGUAGCUAUGUUCGGAAAAGAUAACCGCUGAAAGCAUCUAAGCGGGAAACUUGCCUCAAGAUGAGAUCUCACUGGGAACUUGAUUCCCCUGAAGGGCCGUCGAAGACUACGACGUUGAUAGGCUGGGUGUGUAAGCGUUGUGAGGCGUUGAGCUAACCAGUACUAAUUGCCCGUGAGGCUUGACCAUAUAACACCCAAACA
rnacentral:rRNA from 1 species